rnacentral:rRNA from 1 species
GAUGAACGCUAGCGGCAGGCUUAAUACAUGCAAGUCGAGGGGCAGCAUGAGUGUAGCAAUACAUUUGAUGGCGACCGGCAAACGGGUGCGGAACACGUACACAACCUUCCUAUAAGUGGGGAAUAGCCCAGAGAAAUUUGGAUUAAUACCCCGUAACAUAAUGAUGUGGCAUCACAUUAUUAUUAUAGCUUCGGCGCUUAUUGAUGGGUGUGCGGCUGAUUAGAUAGUUGGCGGGGUAACGGCCCACCAAGUCUACGAUCAGUAGCUGAUGUGAGAGCAUGAUCAGCCACACGGGCACUGAGACACGGGCCCGACUCCUACGGGAGGCAGCAGUAAGGAAUAUUGGUCAAUGGACGCAAGUCUGAACCAGCCAUGCCGCGUGAAGGAUUAAGGUCCUCUGGAUUGUAAACUUCUUUAUCUGGGACGAAAAAAGGCUAUUCUUAGUCACUUGACGGUACCAGAUGAAUAAGCACCGGCUAACUCCGUG